UUUAUUUUUAGCCCUGUCUUUAAACAUCAAACAAACCCCAGAUUUAUCUUGUGACCCCUUAGAGGGGGCUCGGCCCCUAGGUUGGGAGCCACUGGACUAAACUACUGAAUUGUAUAAUUAAACCAGCUCGACCCACCUUGACCAGCUAGAAUAGUAAAAUGCUAUUUACACAGUGAUGCAGUAUUAAUCUAAUAAUGUAACAUACAAUAAUAUAUUACUAUCUUGGAUUUUGUUGAUAAUCCUCCUGUACUUUUACUAAAGUUAGAUUUCGAAUGCAGGAAUUCUCCUUGUAAUGGAGUAUUUUUAGAUCAUUGUACUGGUACUUUGACCUAAGUAAAGAAUCAGAAUACAUCUUCCACCACUGAUUUCAAGUAUACUCUUGAAAAAAAUAAGCCUCCUUAGUCUAACUCAUUGACUGGCCUCAGGGAAACCGAGGUACAAACAUUGUGUCAUUUCUGCAACAACACCCCUAGAGGGCAGUAAUGUCUUUUUCUUCAUUUUUCCUCAUCACUGAACAAACACAGUUCCAAAUAAAACUGAACAUCUAUCUCCAUUAUUUUAAUCUUCACUUCAAGCCAAACAACUAAUACCCAGUCACUGCUACAGUAUGCUAAAGAAGCAACUCAACCUUUCAAAGACUCACUGCAGGGCUUCUCAGGUGAUGACAGAAAACCCUCACCGGCUGAUAUCAGAGCAGGAGUUGUGUAGAGAGAGAGAGAGUGUAAAAAGCUGAACACCUCCUAAUAACGGGGUGUGGUCCGGUGCCAGGGCAGUCCUCUUGGAUUAGCAGCAAGUCCCACAGCGCUUGUCUCCUAAUUACAAGCUUGUAAGCACAUGCAAGCCUGUAUGACUGCUCAACCAUGCUCCUGUGGGCAUGCUUCCCUAACAAACAACACACACCCACUCCUCCCUAACAACAAUAACAACGUUGUGGCAGCAGUGGCCACCUGCAGCAGGCCUGUGUUCCCGCUGCCUGUGUCCUUGGUUGCGCUCCUCCAUCCCGUCUGCCUCUCCCUAUUUGCCCUGGUUUCUGCAGAGCGAGCUGCAGAGUGCUGCACUGCAUCGCUGGAUCAAAGCAAGACUAAUGACUACAGCAGAGAUGUAGCUACAGCACAGAGGCCCCAAGUGUUCCCGCUCGCAAUGCAGAGCUGUAGUUAAACUACAAGUGGACUAAAGAUAGCAGAUAGCACUAGACAAGACGGCAACUACCUCUGAAAAAAACUGUCCAGGUGUCGAUGUGACAGGGAGCAUAUACCGUACACUUAAAGGGAGGAAAAAGCUGAAGAUACCAGGAGGCAUUUGAAAAUGUCCUCCACAAUGCCCGUGGCUACAAAGACUCUGGAUGUCCUAAGAAUAACAACAAAGAGCCCUCUGAUCGAUUCAUGGCAUUUUGUGUCAGCGCAGUCGCUAAAAUUAGCUCUUCAGAUCAUUUUCUGACUAAAUACCUUGUGAACAAUGUGAUGUGAGGGGAAAAAAGCUGCAAUAAAUUUGAUAAACACCUCUCACAUAUUUUCAGCUGCUUCUUUUGCACUUGAUGCCAACAAAAAUCACAUUAUGUUUAAACAAAAAAGUACAAUAAUGACACACAAUAAACACACACACAGUUUCAGUUGAAUUAUUAUUGGCUUCAUUAUUGAUACUACUUUGUCAGGGUUAUGAUCAUUUGGAAGGAUUAUAUGCAUUUUUAAUUUCACAUAUUUUUCACAGAUUGUCCUUUUUGACUUGUAAAGUGCAGAUAAUACUACGUUUUAAAUCCAGACUUCACAUACAGUAUAUAGUACAUGGUUCUUGCUCCAUCAUCCAUUGGUUAUUAUAUACAUUAGUCAGUCACAUUUCAUUUCAUAGAAAGAAAAUCCAUUAUCCACUGUACCAACAUUGAUGGAUUUUUUCAGGCCUCUAUGAUAUGGGGGAGGAUGGGGGGUGAACAACUGUACAUAUUGUCUCAGCGGAUGCCACACUAUCAGGCUCAGGGGUCAAACGAAAUGAAAACGUUCGUUCUCAAACACACACAUGCAUACAUAUUGCAUAUUGAUCAUCUUGUUUCCCGUAUGUAUGAGGUUUUUUUAUGUAGGAGCCUUGUCUCAAAGAGCUGACAUCGCAGUUUAAACAAACCCCAAAGCUCAGAAAGCUCAUAUUCACAUUCAGCUAACGUGUGAGUGUUUGACGUACAGCAGCAAAAUAUUGCAAAGUGUGUCUCUUCUGCCUAAAGGUUCGUUUCAAAUGCACUGCCAGCUCUCAACAUAAGUAAGUGGUGCCGGAAUAAAACACAAAAAUUCUGUACUUAAACCCUCUCAACUACCAGGUGAUAAUCAUUCUCUGCAUAGAUUUCUCAGUAUAUGCACUGUUGGGCACCCUUCUCAUGGAGUGGAUUUGCUGGUGGGUCCCUCAGCGGGUCAGAGAUGAUAUUCUUAGAGGCUGUGGUGCUCCUUAUAAAGCAAUACAAGAUCAUUUUAAUUGACUUUGUUUCCACUGAAUACAAACAUAUUACAGAUUAUAUCUGCAGGUGUACAGAUGAGGAUGAUUCUACUCGUCUUUGUGCUUUAAGCAGAAAUAACUGUCACAUUGUGAACUCCAGUAUACGAGUUGCUACAGUGAAUUUGGCUGAGGUACAAAAACGUGCCCAAUUUACAUAACAGAUAAAUGUUGCAAGUGUCUUUAACAUUUAUCCUAAAUAUCUGUCCCAAACAAUGUAAUGAAGACAAUAUGAUACAAUGCAUUUGCAUGCACAGACAAAUAUUUUUGGUCAGACUGUGAGUGUCCCCCCCCCCAGAUAUACAUAUAUGCAAAUAGCUGUUGCAUAAAUGCAGCUGUACAACCAGGCUAAGACACUGACAUUCAGUGGUUCUCUCUCUUUCUCUCUCUCUCUCACACACACACACACACACACACACGCAUGCACAACUCCUACAUAGCUGUGCAUCAACACCCACAUCAAUACUCAACUGAUGAUCAAUAAGAUCUUGGUUGGACUGUGGAGGUCCAUAAAGGUUGAUUCUUUUUUAAACAUCUAUGUUCUCCACAGAGACCCCUCCACAAAAUUAUGGCAAUAUUGCUAAACAACUAUUUAAUCUGGUCCUGCUUCAAGUUACUGACCAUUUUAACAUCUCAAUCCACCUUUAUGCUACUCUUGGGCAAGGAACAAACAUAACUGCUUAAGUGUAUUUGCUAAAUUCUCUAAAAAUUCUUUCAAGAUACAUGAAAGCAGACAUGGAUCGGGACAGAGAGACGACUUCAGAAGCCUCAUGUCAGGCAGUUGGGCGAGGCAUCCUGAGCACAUAUUGGCAGCGAUGGCGUAAAAACAUUUUGCUACUGCAGGUUAAAGACUGUAGUGAGCAGAGUAAAACCCUAAGAAUAAAGAUGUACAUCCUGGCAUGACUGAAUUCAUUUAGACACUUCUUGCUACAGACCUAAUCCAUCACCUUUCUAAUUACCUAAGACAUCAGUGAAAAGAUGAAGAAAGGCAUGAGACUCAGGAGUGAAGUCAGAGGACCCCUAGGUUAGCCAAUAUCUGCUACACUGCUGCUAAUUAUCACUUCCCAUAUUGACAUUACUGCCUUUGACUGUUACCUUGGCAGUGUUGAGCGAACGCUGGACACAAUCCUAGAAUCAGAACCUAAUUCACAUUUGAUGCCAACUUUUAAAGACAGAUUGAGCUUCUGGCAUCAAAGACUUCUCAGAGGACAGCCAGACUCCAUUUAAAUUCUGAACAAUUUAACGCCAAUAAAGAGUUUCCUGAUAUAAGAUUCUGGUUAGGGAUGAUACAGUUUUGAACAAUGCACUGCCUUUCAACAACUACUUCACAGAAGGCAGUUUUGAACUAAGUGAAGCAAACUAUUUUGUGUUUAAAUCCAGGAUGUGCGUGAGGUUUGCUGGAAAACUCACCAGUAAAGACAAUGCUUUUGAAAAGGCUAGUAAGAGUGUGUCUUUGGCACUCUGAACAGGCUCUGAAACUGGAGAACAUAGAAACAGUGCUCAGAACAAUUAUUAUUGUCAUUAAAAAUAAAAACAUGGCAAUGAUCUGCGCAUUCUGGAAAGGCUCUCACUUUCUCUUAAACAUUGCUAUUUAAAGUGUUUUAAUUCUCUGGUAAAAGUAUGUGUACUGUAUAUGUGCACUGUCCAUAUACAUAUAUUUAUAUAUAUAUAUAUAAGAAAUAAAUAUAUCUAUUGUAAUAAUUAGACUUUUUUGUCUCAGAGGAUUCUUCUUUUGAGUUUAAAUGCAUGCUUCUAGGAAUGUUUUUGAGGUCAUGCAACACUAGGAGAGUAGCGUAAACCCAGAUAAAAGGCAGUUCAGGGGGAAGCAUUAUUCUAUACACGAGUCCUUAAAAGUUGCUAUUUUGAUCAUGAGGACGUGAUCAUGUGACAAACCUGUGAAAAAGACAGCACUGCAAGUCUAUCACAUCUGCAACUGGGAUUAAUGUCCAAAACUAGAGUGUGAGUUUACGCCUGAAGUCACAGCUCAGCUGCGGUACGUUUACAGUGACCUGGCAAAAGUUUUAUCUGCAAUGACUUCUACAUGGAAUGUUAAUAUUGAUAAGGACACCGCAUCCUGUUAAGUGUAGGAUUUGGCCUUAUAAUUAUUCCUUAAGAAGUCGUCUAACAUACAGCUUUAGGAUCUUGUAACAGCUACCUGCAAGCAUCCUUUUAGAAGUGUGGAUUUGUAUAGAAGGCAGUGUACAGACAAAUAUACAGUGGUGUGAUGAAGCAAGUGGUAGUCGAGAAACAAGUGGAAAUUCUCAUUCAGAUAAAAAUGCCAUGCAAUAAUCUACUGUCUAUGUUUUCUACUAACAGCACCUACCUACCUACCGGCUAUCAGUUAGGUCACAGUUAGCCUACUUAUCUAUAUGAAUAAGUACUGUGUGUGUGUGUGUGUGUGUGUGUGUGUGUGAAACUGUGAAAAACAAACAAAACAAGAAGAAACAUUCAAGUUGUCCUCAAAGCUCUGCAGUAAGACCAGUUUUGGGUGAAUGGAAGGGGGAAAGCUUGCAUUGCUAUACAUACAGUCAUACAUGUAAGACCAAAGCAGUGAAAAGUCAAGGCCAUUCUCAGUCAUUCAUCAGAUACUGAUGCCUGCUGGGAAAAAAGGUGUCGAACCAUAAGCUUAGCGCUAAUGGCUGUCAUUCAUCCUUGAAAUAACGUGGUGUACUUAACCACCAACCUCGUCACAAGUCACCCACAGGCCAUAUCAGCGCAGCAGUGGGCUUGCUUUAUGCUUACACAUCCUCUUAUUUCUAAAUGGUGUAGCAUAAGACAGUUUUGUUUCAUUGGCUCCAGGAAGCAGCAUAUAUAGCACGCAAGUAUAAGCGCAUGGCAGAGCAGUGUGUCUUGGGAAAUGAGUGACCAAGGGACAGGGGACUAAAGCAGGGCUUGUGUUGUGUUGCUUUUUUUUUGUUUUGAAAGCCAUAAAUAUUUUUUUUUCUUGCUGUGUUUCUCCCUUUUUUCUUUUCUUUUUGUGCACUACUGUUGGCUACUAUUUUGAGCAGGGAAUUUUUAGGUAUUCUUAUAUCUUUUUUUAAAACAGCCACACAGACAAAGCCAACUCCAUGCAGAAAUGCAAAAUUUGAAAUUUCACUCUGUUUGACAGUUAUCAGGAGUUUUAAGGGCAAGUUGUGAGGAGUGAAGACAGGAUGAGCGCGGAGUGAGUGGAUGGUCUUUGUAAUAUUUUUUUUUCACUGUCUAUCAUCAUCAUCAUCAACAUCCUGAAUUCUAUUGCCUUGAUUUUUCCAGCACGUGUGAGGUGGUAGGCUGU